UAUACGACCGUACCGCAAACCGACACUGGUGCGCGAGAUGAGUAUUCUAAGGCGCUUGAGAGAACUCAGGAGAAGGAACUCGGCAAAUUGACACCGUAACUUCGGAAGAAGGUGUGCCCUAUUAGUGUGUAGUGAACAACGAAGCAUGAAUGGGUUGCAAAAAAUCGGUGGCUGCGACUGUUUAUUAAAAACACAGCACUCUGCAAACACGAAAGUGGACGUAUAGGGUGUGACGCCUGCCCGGUGCUGGAAGAUUAAAUGAUGGGGUGCAAGCUCUUGAUUGAAGUCCCAGUAAACGGCGGCCGUAACAAUAACGGUCCUAAGGUAGCGAAAUUCCUUGUCGGGUAAGUUCCGACCUGCACGAAUGGCGUAACGAUGGCCACACUGUCUCCUCCUGAGACUCAGCGAAGUUGAAAUGUUUGUGAUGAUGCAAUCUCCCCGCGGAAGGACGGAAAGACCCCAUGAACCUUUACUGUAGCUUUGUAUUGGACUUUGAACAGAUCUGUGUAGGAUAGGUGGGAGGCUUUGAAGCAGGGUCGCUAGAUCUUGUGGAGCCAACGUUGAAAUACCACCCUGGUGUGUUUGAGGUUCUAACCUAGGUCCAUUAUCUGGAUCGGGGACAGUGCAUGGUAGGCAGUUUGACUGGGGCGGUCUCCUCCCAAAGCGUAACGGAGGAGUUCGAAGGUACGCUAGUUACGGUCGGACAUCGUGACGAUAGUGCAAUGGCAUAAGCGUGCUUAACUGCGAGACUGACAAGUCGAGCAGAUGCGAAAGCAGGACAUAGUGAUCCGGUGGUUCUGUAUGGAAGGGCCAUCGCUCAACGGAUAAAAGGUACUCUGGGGAUAACAGGCUGAUACCGCCCAAGAGUUCAUAUCGACGGCGGUGUUUGGCACCUCGAUGUCGGCUCAUCUCAUCCUGGGGCUGUAGCCGGUCCCAAGGGUAUGGCUGUUCGCCAUUUAAAGAGGUACGUGAGCUGGGUUUAAAACGUCGUGAGACAGUUUGGUCCCUAUCUUCCGUGGGCGCUGCAGAUUUGAGGAAGCCUGCUCCUAGUACGAGAGGACCGGAGUGGACACACCUCUGGUGUAUCGGUUGUCACGCCAGUGGCAUUGCCGAGUAGCUAAGUGUGGAAGAGAUAACCGCUGAAAGCAUCUAAGCGGGAAACUCGUUUCAAGAUGAGAUCUGCCGGGGCCUUGAGCCCCCUAAAGAGUCGUUCAAGACCAGGACGUUGAUAGGUCAGGUGUGGAAGCGAAU
rnacentral:rRNA from 1 species